rnacentral:lncRNA from 1 species
AGAAAUUAAAUUCUUAUAUAUUUUAUCCAACAAAAUAAAAAAAAAUUAAAUCAUUUUCCCCUCUUCCAUUCUCUCCUCCGAUCCAAACAUUACCUUGAUUUCCAGAUUAAGCGUCAAAAGAAUCUUUACUACAAACAACCCCAAACCUUUCACUGUUUUAUUAUCUUGUAGUUGUAGAUCAAAGAUACCGAAUCUCGAUCUCUUCAGCUGACGUCUCGAGGAUUUUUGAGCUCGUUCCCUCCGCAAUAUGGGCUUGAUAGUCGGGCCAAGUUUUUGGUAUUAAUAAGUUCAAUUAGAGUUAUAUGAUUAUUCAUAAAUGUGCACAAUGGCGGCCUGGGCAGGGUUGUCAUGAGGAUACCGAAGGGGUGUUAAAAGCAUUUCUGUGCUAUUGGGUCAAUCCUGAUCUCGGAUGCUAUUGUGGUCUUCAAUUUCGGUCUAGGUGAGCCGCGGCAAUGCUCGUAUCGUUGGACAAUGAGCGGUGCUACUGGCACCUUCUAAAUUGACUCUUUUGGUUGGCUAAGGAAAUAAGAUUUGUAUACAAAUACAAGGAUUUUACCAUCUUCUCCACUUUUUUCCUCUUUAAAAGGUGUACAUAACUUUUAUCAAAUGACAAAUUUUCAGGAUUUACGACUGCUACUACCAUCCAUCUUAUCGGCUCACUUUAUGUGCAAAUCCAUUCAUUUUCUAUCCCACGAAUUUCUUAAAUAAAAUUUUUGGUGUUAAAUUAUUAUUAUUAUUAUUAUUAUACCAUUGUUUCGGCUUUAUAAUAUUAAUUUCACAGAAAUUUUUAAACAAUUCGUAAUAUGUUUGAUACAAAAGAAGAUAAUAAAGAGGUGUUGUGACUUGUCACUUGUGAGAUAUCACACGGGCUACUCUUUUUUUUUUUUUUUUUAAUCAUCUUCUCAAUCUUCUUCUUUAUCAGCAGCUACACUUUAUUUUCUACUCUCUCCUUCUCCUACCGUUAAAUUAUCUCUGCUUCCAUGGUUUGCUUUGAAAUCUAAAAUCUUGUAAUGAUUCGAAAAAUCUCCAUCUCUCAUUUCUGAAUCUAUCUUUAUUUCUUUCUCGUUCACUUUUGUAUGCUCAAUCUCGUAGUUCAUUGAGUCUUAUAAUUCCAUCUGUACAUAUAUAUAU